CAUCGAUCCAGGGUCACCAUUCAGAACAACUCCACCCCAUCGAAACAUUUCCUUUGCUAGAAUCAACCGUCAAUCAAACUGAAACCCUUUCUAAUGUAGAAUGGGAUGCAAAAACCAUUAUACAACGAGUCCCAAUCCCUGACAAUAAAAUCAGUAUGGAUGUGCCAACUUUUUCUGACACAUUAGUACGAGUAUACAUGGAAGAAGGGUGUGGCCUAAACAGUCCUAAUUUAAAGAGGAAAGAUGAAGUUGUUUGGAAAUCAGAUAACGUUGAAGACAUGUGCCUAGAAUUUCGAGGUUUGCCGUGCAGAAUGUGGCACACAGUUCCUGAAAUGCCAAUAUUGUUAAGUGUUAGGAAAAGAUAUGAACCCAUGGUUUCAUUACAACCACCUUGUGAUAUAGUUGAUGGUGCUCAACAGUUGGUCAAGCCUUUCAGAGAUAGUACUAUUGUGUGGGAGGAGUUACCAAAAUCAUCUGCUGAGAAAUAUCCUUCUGGAAACUCUAUAGAGUGGGAGGAACUUCCAAAAACAGUGAAUCAGACUGAAGUGUUAGCCAGAGAUGAGAUGGACAUCUUCAGCAAAGAUCCUCAAGGUUCAAUGGAAGCCUUUUUAGAAUCUUCACUAACAUUGGACAGAAAGCAACAUAACAAUAAUGCAGAAGACAAAUUACUGGUAUUGAGGAAGGAAUGUGUUGAAUAUAAUAAUGAGUUUUCGGAGGUAUGGACAGAUGCAGAUGUAAUGACAAAGCAAAAUGACACAGAAAAGUUUGUAGAAGCCAAAUUUUCAUUGGAACAAAAUACAAGUGCCCUCCCUGACGUGCAACCCAUUGUAGGAAUAACAAUGUCAUCAUUAAGUAUAGACAAUCCUGAACAUAUUACUGUCACAGAACCACUUUGUCUUAAACAACAAAUUUCUCAGAUGUUGCAAUGCGAUGAAUCAAAUAUGACGAGGCUUGUGAGCUCCUGCCCUCUUAACUCUUCUAUAAAAGGUAUUCCAUCUAUGUUACAACCAUGUAAACAAACUUGGUCAACCAGUUGCAAACUGUCAGGUGCAAGGCUGCUCAAAUCUAAAAUGGCCCCAAU
ensembl:lncRNA